rnacentral:rRNA from 1 species
UACGAAGGGGGCUAGCGUUGUUCGGCCUUACUGGGCGUAAAGCGCACGUGGGCGGAUUGCUAAGUCAGGGGUGAAAUCCCGGGGCUCAACCUCGGAACUGCCUUUGAUACUGGCAAUCUCGAGUCCGGAAGAGGUGAGUGGAAUUCCUAGUGUAGAGGUGAAAUUCGUAGAUAUUAGGAAGAACACCAGUGGCGAAGGCGGCUCACUGGUCCGGUACUGACGCUGAGGUGCGAAAGCGUGGGGAGCAAACAGG